GGUCUUAUAUUCAUUAAAUAUGAUAAUAGAAUGCAAUUCUGUAGGAGUAACAAUAAGAGUUACUAAGGCUU
rnacentral:tRNA from 1 species